GGGGACGACCUGGUUUCGACGGGGAUCACGAAGUAGCACGGUGCAUGUCAAGGUCCAGUCACCUUGUAAAUCCGCUGGAAAAUAAAUAAACGCCAAUAACAAGCGUUUCGCUCUCGCUGCUUAAUCCGGCGAGGACUACACCAGUUUGCCUCUAGGCUGGGCUAGGUAAAACUAGCAGUAGUCUUAUACUUAUACAGGCUAGAGACUUGUGGGGUUACAACACAAGAAUCGAAACUUUAGUGACUGGUCCUAUCAGAGCUAGCCAGAAGGCGUAAAGUAGGACGAGAUCUUUUAAAUGUUUUGGAUAAGCAUGUAGAACCGGUUAUGGACGAUUUUCGGACGCGGGUUCAAUUCCCGCCGUCUCCACCA
rnacentral:tmRNA from 1 species